UAGGUGCUUGCAUUUGAAAGAUUUAACAUUGAGACGAGUGGCGAACUGGUGAGUAACACGUGGGUAACCUGCCCUUGAAGUAGGGGAUAACACUUGGAAACAGGUGCUAAUACCGUAUAACAACCAAAACCACCUGGUUUUGGUUUAAAAGACGGCUUCGGCUGUCACUUUAGGAUGGACCCGCGGCGUAUUAGCUUGUUGGUAAGGUAACGGCCUACCAAGGCGAUGAUACGUAGCCGACCUGAGAGGGUAAUCGGCCACAUUGGGACUGAGACACGGCCCAAACUCCUACGGGAGGCAGCAGUAGGGAAUCUUCCACAAUGGACGAAAGUCUGAUGGAGCAACGCCGCGUGAGUGAUGAAGGGUUUCGGCUCGUAAAACUCUGUUGUUGGAGAAGAACAGGUGUCAGAGUAACUGUUGACAUCUUGACGGUAUCCAACCAGAAAGCCACGGCUAACUACGUGCCAGCAGCCGCGGUAAUACGUAGGUGGCAAGCGUUGUCCGGAUUUAUUGGGCGUAAAGCGAGCGCAGGCGGUUUUUUAGGUCUGAUGUGAAAGCCUUCGGCUUAACCGGAGAAGUGCAUCGGAAACCGGGAGACUUGAGUGCAGAAGAGGACAGUGGAACUCCAUGUGUAGCGGUGAAAUGCGUAGAUAUAUGGAAGAACACCAGUGGCGAAGGCGGCUGUCUGGUCUGUAACUGACGCUGAGGCUCGAAAGCAUGGGUAGCGAACAGGAUUAGAUACCCUGGUAGUCCAUGCCGUAAACGAUGAGUGCUAAGUGUUGGAGGGUUUCCGCCCUUCAGUGCUGCAGCUAACGCAUUAAGCACUCCG
rnacentral:rRNA from 1 species